GUGGCACCGGCCGCAUUAAGGUGAAUGGCCGGCAGAUGACUGCGCACCGGUUGGCUGGGAACUGGCCAAGGGUGUGCUGCCCAGAGGUUGCCGGGUACCUCCCAUCUGCCGGUCGAAGUCGAUCGAAGGAUCCCGCUCCGAAGCUGACCUUCCGGGUUUAGUCCGCCGGGGGCACGCUGGUGGUUCCUGUCCGGCUUACAGGCGCCUCGGAUCGAAUGGCUUCACUGACCGAGCGAUGGCGAGGAGCUCCUGGCAGUUCACUCGAUAGUCGAGGGCGUCCACGACAAUGUUCACCUCAAUGUCAGGAGCCCAGAGCCAGGAGAUGAACUCGCCGUCGGUCAUGUGCUGAAUCAGGCCGUCCUUGCCUCGGACCUUGACGUUCGAGGGAGGCGGAUUGUCC
rnacentral:misc_RNA from 1 species